CUGAUUUCUGCCUAGGCUGGUUGAGUCUCUAGGGACUCCCGGCCAAAGCGAUAUACCACUUGUGCACCAUGAUGUCUUUUGGGUUUUGGAAGCAGCUCUAGAGCGGCGACCUUGACCCAGCGUUGUAAACCAAUUAAUUUUUUGUCUGAAAUUUCUAUAAAUAGAAA
rnacentral:misc_RNA from 1 species